UACGUAGGGGGCUAGCGUUGUCCGGAAUCAUUGGGCGUAAAAGCGCGUGUAGGCGGCCCGGUAAGUCCGCUCUGAAAGUCCAGGGCUCAACCCUGGAAUGCGGGUGGAUACUGCCGGGCUAGAGUCCGGAAGAGGCGAGUGGAAUUCCUGGUGUAGCGGUGGAAUGCGCAGAUAUCAGGAGGAACACCAAUAGCGAAGGCAGCUCGCUGGGGACGGUACUGACGCUAAG
rnacentral:rRNA from 1 species